UUGAGCAAAAAUACAGUUCAGUUUUUAUAGUUUAUUAAUACUGUUUACUGUUUAAUUUUAAAAGAGAUAAAGUGCUUUAAAUGUUCUUAUCUUAUCUAUAUCUGUAUAAUAUAUAAAAAUGAAUUGCUGUUCGUUAGUCUCGCUAAAACUGGAAAACGGUUGGACCGAUUUGGCUAAUUUUGGUCUUGAGUUAUUUGCGGAGGUCCAGAGAAGGUUUAAAAGAAGAUCCAUCGAUUUGAUUUUCUUCGAAAACAAUUUUGUCUGAAGAUUUAACCUCGGAAUGAAGUUUACUAGCUAUUUCUGAAGCCGUAUCAAUCGCGAUCGUGUCCCGGGCCUGUAUAUUCGAACCGAAAUGCAUUUUGCAAGAUACGAUUAGGUUCUAAGGAUUUGUUUUGUGGUAUCAAAUUUAUUGUAAUUUUUUUUUGUUGCCCUUGUAGGCAGACGAGCAUACGGCCCACCUGAUGGUGAGUGGUUACCGUCGCCCAUGGACUUCAGCAAUGCCAGGGGCAGAGCCAGGCCGCUGCCUACCGCUUAAUACUCUCCACAAGCCUAUUUUAAAGAAGGACAUGUCAUAGCGCUCAGGAAACACCGUGGAGGGGAGCUCAUUCCAUAGCCGGAUGGUACGUGGCAAAAAUGACCUCUGGAAACGCACUGUCGAUGAACGCAGCGGUUUCAGAUAAUAUAGAUGAACUUAGCUCUGAUGGCGGGAGGUGCGAUGAUAAAAAGGAGAUGAGGGGAUCAUCUCAAACAAUUCCUCAGAGCACUCCCCAUGGAACAUACGGUACAAAAUACAGAGGAAACCGAAGUCCCUCCGCAGACCCAGAGGUUCCAAACGAUCCGUGAGAAAAAUCCGUGUUAGCUUACAUGACCUUCUUAAACCGAAAAACUGGCUUGAAGGUCUUCAGAUACGAUGAGAAUAAACUAGCCUAUUGGAUUGUAGUUGAUUCCAUAUCUUACCAUAAUAGCUUUACUGUUCAUUUAUAGUCGAAAUGGUAAUUACUACUGGUACUUACUUAAUACUACUAACUUCAAAGUCGAAACACAUCACGAAGUAAAUCCUCGUCAAGACAUGCUUUGAUAUUUUAUAACCGUAUGAGAAUACGAAUAAGUAGUAUAACACGGUAUUUUUCAAUACGAUAGAUUUGUGAUUAAACUUAUUUAGAAAAAUAUAUUAUGCAAUAUAAACACACAAUACAUGGAAGUUUUACCGAGCCGAACCGAAAUUUUUAUGCUGAUUUUUUUUUGUGUAAUAGGUAAAAAAAUACACACAGGCAUAGUUGAAAUGUUUCAUUCAGAAAAGUUAAUAAUAAUAAUACCUUUAUUUCCCGAAAAUUGUACAUUUUAAACUAACAAUUUCAAGUAGACUAAUAAAUAAAUAAAACUAUAUUACCUAAAUGAAAACAACUUAAUAUUAGAUAUAAAAGUACCCCGAUAUAGCAAAUAAACAUGUUCGUCGUACAA